rnacentral:rRNA from 1 species
CCUACGGGAGGCAGCAGUGGGGAAUUUUGCGCAAUGGGGGCAACCCUGACGCAGCAACGCCGCGUGAGUGAUGAAGGCCUUCGGGUCGUAAAGCUCUGUCAGAGGGGAAGAAAUGCAGGUGGUGAACAACCAUUCUGUUUGACGGUACCCUCAAAGGAAGCACCGGCUAACUCCGUGCCAGCAGCCGCGGUAAUACGGAGGGUGCGAGCGUUGUUCGGAAUUAUUGGGCGUAAAGCGCGUGUAGGCGGUUUUUUAAGUCGGAGGUGAAAGCCCCGGGCUCAACCGGGGAAGUGCAUUGGAUACUGGCAGACUUGAGUACGGGAGAGGAGAGUGGAAUUCCCAGUGUAGCAGUGAAAUGCGUAGAGAUCAGGAGGAACACCGAUGGCGAAGGCAGCCCCCUGGGUUGGCACUGACGCUCAUGCACGAAAGCGUGGGGAGCAAACAGGAUUAGAUACCCUGGUAGU